ensembl:lncRNA
UUUUUUAUUUUUAAAUUUGUUAUUAUUAUUAAGAAUAAUAAAAUAUGAAAAGUAAAAAAAAAAAAAAAGUUUCUCUAGCCUCAGAGUGAUUACAAAUAAAACAAACAAAUAGGUGAUUGGUACUGGAGACAACCCAUGAGAAAGCUAUGUUGGGGAUGUCACAGGAAAUAUUUAGACAGUUCAUACUUAACAUCGCACAGGUUUUCAACUCCUACAGAUAUCAAAACAAGUGCAAUUUCGGGCCAUAGGUUCAGUCCUGUGUUUUCUGUAGUCAUUAUCUACUGCAAAACGACCCUACCAGACGCCUGAAAGGAAGACCAGGUUUUGCUGAAGUAGUCAGAUGAAGGCUAGAUUCUGUUGUGACCGUCAGACUUUAAAGAUGAGCAUCUGGCUGAUGAUGAUCUGGGUCACUCACACUGUGGGAACAGGGACGAAGCCCUUCAUUGUAACACAGUGGCCGACAGUGGCUGAGGUGAUGGCUGGAGAAGAUGUCAUUUUAAACUGCAACAUUGUAGAGCUGUACUCCUCGUGUUCAACAGUGGCUUGGCUGAAAGUCAUUCCCGAGAACGCAACGAUCAGCCUGACCGACAGACUUCAGAUCCAUCCUCAUUACUCGUCCAACCAGUGGACCAGUAUUUGUACUGCUGUCAUCACCAAUACAACAGUGCAUGACUCCAGUAUGUACUACUGCGCAGCUGUGCACAGCCGCUUUGCUCACAUCGGUAAUGGAUCCAGAGUCAUUGUGAAAGAACACACUGUGUUUCCUGUUAUUGAUAUUCUUACUCCGCUGAUCACAAACGGUCCUUCGGUCCCUCUUCAGUGUGUUGUGAAGGGGGUCGAGGCUUCUCAAGUUCAUGUGUUCUGGACUGUGGAGGGGAAAAAGGAGAAAGGACAGCCAGUUUUGACACAUGGGAACGAUGGUGUCAUCCAGAUCACUAGGAGCCAGAUCCUGAUGACUGCUGAGGAGUGGGAAAGGAAGGUGCAGUGUGUGUGUGUAGUGCAGUUUGGAGGACAGCUCUAUAACAAGACCCUUCAGCCACAUGAUGCACCAGAUGUGUGUUAUGCAGCAAAAUACAUAUAUUUGUCUGUCUGCUUAAUAUUUGCUCUCCUGCUUCUGGCAACAGUGGUUAUUUAUAGGCUGGGACGGAAAACCUUUUUGAUGAUGUCUCUAUGAAAACACAUAUAGUUUCAAAGAGCUUUCAGUUUAUGUCCAGUAUUUUGCUCUAACCCAUUUUUAUUUAUCAAACUUAUUUUGGUAUUUGGCAUUGCUGUACAUCAGAUGAAAGAAGGCAACAUUUACAAAUAUUUUGACAUCUCUUCCCAAAAAGCAUAAGUAAUUCUGAUAUUUAUGUUCAGAUCGUUAUGGAUCUUUGAUGUUUUGAAUAGUGUUGUUUAUAUUGUGAAUUGAAAUGGUCAAUUUAUACUUUCAUCCAAUAUGUUCUGAACUCUGUUUAUUCCAAUAGACUGAAUAAAAACACCUGAAUAAAAGAAACAUAUCGUUUGACUAACUUUUUCUUUAAUUUACACGAAUCUAAAACCAGAGAAAAUAAAAUAACUACAUAUAUAAACAUAUUAUUUUCAUAUAUUAUGUUAUUUGUGAUUACCUAUAGCCUAUAAAAGUGUCAGUUUGAUAAUUGUAAAGUACAACAACAACAAUUAUUAGAUAUUAUGCCUUAUGUGGCUUCUGUUAUGUGUGGCAGGGUCAGGAAGUGAUUUUUUUUUUUUUUUUCAUUUUCUCAGUAUUGUUGUAUCUCUGUGUCCUCUUUAUUGUGUGGUUUCAUGUAUCAUACACGCAAAAUGGUGAUGUGGACUUCACCUCACAUUGGUUAAUGUCCUCUCUUUACUUUGUCAGCGGAAAAAACUUCAGUCUCAAAUGUACCACAGUGGAACCUCAAAGAUGCAUAAUUCCGACCCAAAAAUUCUUUGGUGGAAGAAAAAAAAUUGCUGAUUUUGUUCAAUUGAAAUAGGACACAACCAUAUGCCACAUCACUUCAGUCUUAGAUCAUGUUCAUUAGUUUAGUUAGUAAUGUUUUAUGUUAAAUAUAAGACAGUUUUUGUUGUAAUGCAUCAAGAGUGCAACAAAGAUGAUGUGAUUUUGCCGCUUUACUCAUCCCACACAGAAUUUAUGCAGUUCUCAUUUUAAAUUCUUUCAAGUUUCAAUACACCUUGAAAAACCAUAGAGUCAUACUAAUUAAAUUUCUUAUUUAAGCAAUAUCACAUGAGCAAGAGUGCUGUCCUUCCAGCUGUAUGCACAAGAACACCGAUUCACAGUGGUGCUGUUAUUCAGAUCAACAUACAGAGUUGUUCACUAGAAUAUAAGUUAAUAUUGAGUAAUGCACAUUUUGUAAUAAUGCCAGUUCCUUUGUUUUUUCUCCACUAACAAAACAAAAAAGCCAGAGCUUAAUCAGCAGUUGUGUGAGCAACCCACAGUAAAGUGUCUCAGUCAUAAAUUAAUCUGUUUUGAACUAAUAAGAUGAGUGAAUGAUUCAAUGACACGUAAUGUCUUUCACUUGUUCCUUUCAUGAAUGAAUCAGUGUUUAAAUGAAAGGAAAUUAAUUGGUUGAAUGGAUCAUUCAGUGACUCGCUGUUAGGACAGCCAUGAGUCACCAUUUACUAGCGAAAACAAUAAUCUUUAGAAAAUUUCACAGAAAAAUCCAAGAGGGUCUGGCUGCAGACGUGCACUUGCACUUGUCAGACUUGCAUUCUCCAACUUGCACUCUCAGACACUUGCACUUCCUCUAGUAACAUCACUUGCAGUCUUUAUUUUUUAUUAAGUUGAAUUUUUUAUAACUUUUUGUUUGAAUUUCCCAACACUUUAUAACAGUAGCCAGGUGGUGAAGACAAGAAAAAAUAAUCGAAAUUACAAUAUCACUUGCAAUCGCUGCUUGCACUUUUUGCAAUCGACACAAUAUACACAUUGUCGUAUUGACACAUAUAGUAUUUUCCUCACAUACCGAAAAAUGUGGCAUAAUGGAUAAUAAAGGUCAAACUCAAUAUGCUUCUCUACAUUAUUAAAAUACAUAACUAAUAUGUACAGGCAAGCAGGUGAGCCCAGACUAAAUGCAACACGUAAAGUUUCGGGUUGAGCAUUUUUCCAUAUAGAAUAAACUGUCUACAACUCCGUCUUUGUCCAUUAUGAUACAUUAUGUGUUUUAUUUAUGAUGAUUUUCUAUAGGAGGAAAAAGUUUAAUGUACAAUUCUGUACUCGUCUGCUUGCCUGUAUGGAGUUGAUCCUUUUAAAAUCACUUAAUGCAUUUCAUAAUGCUAUUAGGCCAAGGGUGACCCCCCAGAGUUGGGUCAGGUCAAAGUUUACACUCCAGAGUCGGGUCGGGUCAGGUCAGGCACGUGCACAGGUAGGGCUCAACCUGUGCAGAGCACAUGCCCUUUUUGCCCUUACACUCCGAAGUGCCCUUUUUUUGGUGUAGUUUUUUUUUUUUUAUCAAUGCUAUUGGUCACCCUUUACGUCUGUCUGUCUGUUUUACAAAUAUUUAGCAAAUGAAAGUGCUUAAAACGAGCUGUGUAAAUCUUAUUCGAUCCUCAAGCUGUCAGUAAGCUGAUAACUCCGCCCCCUUUAUAUUCAUUGAAUCAACAGAUUCAAUACGCAGUACAGUAGAUAACAGCGGAGCUGAACAAAGUUUUGCGAAGGGUAAAUAAAUAUCUUGUUGUUUGAAUAAGUACUACUAAACACUGUCUAUAAAGGCUCAUAUUUUAU